rnacentral:tRNA from 1 species
GCCCGGAUGGUGAAAUAGGUAGACACAGCGGACUUAAAAUCCGCAACCCGCGAGGGUGUGCCGGUUCGAGUCCGGCUCCGGGCACCA